GAUGAACGCUGGCGGCGUGCCUAAUACAUGCAAGUCGAACGCGAGAGGAGGGAGCUUGCUCCCUCUGAUCGAGUGGCGGACGGGUGAGUAACACGUAGGCAACCUGCCCAUCAGUCCGGGAUAACCGCGGGAAACCGUGGCUAAUACCGGAUGAUCCUCUCCACCGCGGGGUGGGGAGUUGAAAGACGGUUUCGGCUGUCGCUGAUGGAUGGGCCUGCGGCGCCUUAGCUGGUUGGCGGGGUAACGGCCCACCAAGGCAACGAUGCGUAGCCGACCUGAGAGGGUGAUCGGCCACACGGGGACUGAGACACGGCCCAGACUCCUACGGGAGGCAGCAGUAGGGAAUCUUCCGCAAUGGACGCAAGGCUGACGGAGCAACGCCGCGUGAGUGAAGAAGGGUUUCGGCUCGUAAAGCUCUGUUGUUAAGGAAGAACGACAGGUAGAGUAACUGCUACCUGUGUGACGGUACUUAACCAGAAAGCCACGGCUAACUACGUGCCAGCCGCCGCAGUAA
rnacentral:rRNA from 1 species